UGGAGAAAGUGGAACCCUCACACAGGGC
rnacentral:piRNA from 1 species